UACGGAGGGUGCAAGCGUUAUCCGGAUUCACUGGGCUUAAAGGGCGCGUAGGCGGGUUGGUAAGUCCGUGGUGAAAUCUCCAAGCUUAACUUGGAAACUGCCGUGGAUACUCUCAAGCUUGAAUAUAGUGGAGGUGAGCGGAAUAUGUCAUGUAGCGGUGAAAUGCGUAGAUAUGACAUAGAACACCCAUUGCGAAGGCAGCUCGCUGGACUAUUAUUGACGCUGAGGCGCGAAAGCGUGGGGAGCAAACAGG
rnacentral:rRNA from 1 species